AUCGCCAGAAGAUCAAUUCAUUCGAACAUGUUUCUUGCCUUUUACCAGAAACAUCCGGGAAUUGUCUUUAUUAAUGGUGAUAUCUAAAUUUUUGGGAUUUUUUUCUU